UAUAUAAUAAGCUAAAUAAAGCUAAUAGGUUCAUACCCUAUCGAUAAAUUAAAAUUUUUAUAUAAA
rnacentral:tRNA from 1 species